CCCCCUUAAUAGUGAUAAAGAUUCAUUUUCUUGUCAUAAUUUUGUAUUGUAACAAAAAUAUGAUCAUAAAAUGUUAUUCGAAUUUGAUAUAGAAUUUGAAAGACGAACUGGUAAUCUUAAUGAAGUUGAAUUGGAAUCAUGGUCGAAAUAUGAUGAUAUUUUGGAAGCUAAUAAAAAUGAUGUUACAUUUAAUAAACGUUUGCAUAGUGAUGAUAAUGAUAAUGUCAAGGAAGGAAUUGCGCGCAAAUCAAUAUGCAAAAGAUGGAACAAAUUUGUCCUAUAUUUC